rnacentral:rRNA from 1 species
UCGAGAAUAGUCUACAAUGGACGAAAGUCUGAUAGUGCGACGCCGCGUGAACGAAGAGACCUUUCGGGGUGUAAAGUUCUUUUCUGUGCGAGCAGCGGUGGCCAGAGUAAUAUGCUGGUCAUCUUGAUAUUAGUACAGGAAUAAGCCACGGCUAACUCCGUGCCAGCAGCCGCGGUAACACGGGGGUGGCAAGCGUUGUCCGGAAUUACUAGGCGUAAAGGGCAGGUAGGCGGAUCCGUAAGUCGGACGUUAAAACCUCAGUCUUAAGCUGAGACAUGCGUUCGAUACUGUGGAUCUUGAAUAUGGUGGGGGAAGACGGAAUUCCAGGUGUAGCGGUGGAAUGCGCAGAUAUCUGGAGGAACACCGAAGGCGAAGGCAGUCUUCUAUACCAAAAUUGACGCUAAACUGCGAAGGUGUGGGGAUCAAACAGG